CGCUGGCGGCGUGCUUAACACAUGCAAGUCGAACGAUGAAGCCCUUCGGGGUGGAUCAGUGGCGAACGGGUGAGUAACACGUGGGCAAUCUGCCCUUCACUCUGGGACAAGCCCUGGAAACGGGGUCUAAUACCGGAUACCACUCCUGCCUGCAUGGGCGGGGGUUGAAAGCUCCGGCGGUGAAGGAUGAGCCCGCGGCCUAUCAGCUUGUUGGUGGGGUAAUGGCCCACCAAGGCGACGACGGGUAGCCGGCCUGAGAGGGCGACCGGCCACACUGGGACUGAGACACGGCCCAGACUCCUACGGGAGGCAGCAGUGGGGAAUAUUGCACAAUGGGCGAAAGCCUGAUGCAGCGACGCCGCGUGAGGGAUGACGGCCUUCGGGUUGUAAACCUCUUUCAGCAGGGAAGAAGCGAAAGUGACGGUACCUGCAGAAGAAGCGCCGGCU
rnacentral:rRNA from 1 species